rnacentral:misc_RNA from 1 species
CGAGCGUCAUUACAACCCUCAAGCUCAGCUUGGUAUUGGGCUCGCCCUUCGUAGGCCUGCCUCAAAAUCAGUGGCGGCUCCGUCCAGUCUCAAGCGCAGUAAUACUCGUCGCUUGUUAGGCUUGGUCAGCGGUUUGCUAGCAACCCCCCCAAUUUUACAAGGUUGACCUCGGAUCAGGUAGGGAUACCCGCUGAACUUAA